GAUGAACGCUGGCGGCGUGCCUAAUACAUGCAAGUCGAGCGAACAGACGAGGAGCUUGCUCCUCUGACGUUAGCGGCGGACGGGUGAGUAACACGUGGAUAACCUACCUAUAAGACUGGGAUAACUUCGGGAAACCGGAGCUAAUACCGGAUAAUAUAUUGAACCGCAUGGUUCAAUAGUGAAAGACGGUUUUGCUGUCACUUAUAGAUGGAUCCGCGCCGCAUUAGCUAGUUGGUAAGGUAACGGCUUACCAAGGCAACGAUGCGUAGCCGACCUGAGAGGGUGAUCGGCCACACUGGAACUGAGACACGGUCCAGACUCCUACGGGAGGCAGCAGUAGGGAAUCUUCCGCAAAGGGCGAAAGCCUGACGGAGCAACGCCGCGUGAGUGAUGAAGGUCUUCGGAUCGUAAAACUCUGUUAUUAGGGAAGAACAAAUGUGUAAGUAACUAUGCACGUCUUGACGGUACCUAAUCAGAAAGCCACGACUAACUACGUG
rnacentral:rRNA from 1 species